rnacentral:rRNA from 1 species
GAUGAACGCUAGCGGCAGGCUUAACACAUGCAAGUCGAGGGGUAACAGGGGUGCUUGCACCCGCUGACGACCGGCGCACGGGUGCGUAACGCGUAUAGAACCUACCUUUUACAGAGGGAUAGCCUUUAGAAAUGAAGAUUAAUACCUCAUAGUAUUGGAAACUGGCAUCGGUAUUCAAUUAAAGAUUUAUCGGUAAGAGAUGGCUAUGCGUCCUAUUAGCUAGAUGGUUUGGUAACGGCAUACCAUGGCAACGAUAGGUAGGGGUCCUGAGAGGGAGAUCCCCCACACUGGUACUGAGACACGGACCAGACUCCUACGGGAGGCAGCAGUGAGGAAUAUUGGGCAAUGGAGGCAACUCUGACCCAGCCAUGCCGCGUGCAGGAAGAAGGUUCUAUGGAUCGUAAACUGCUUUUAUACAGGAAGAAACUUACCCACGUGUGGGUAACUGACGGUACUGUAAGAAUAAGCACCGGCUAACUCCG